GUUUACAUGAUGACUUUAAAAUUUUCACGACGGUCAACUUAGCCAUAAGCAAUGCCGAUAUUUGCCUGUCACAGGGCAACUACGCACUGAUA
rnacentral:snoRNA from 1 species